UAACAUUCUGUAUUUAAUCAGAUGUCACGAUGGUUGUGCGUUGUUUUAUUUUAAUUUUCCUUGUCAGUUACAUUGCAUGUGAUACCUGCGGGCCAAAUGAAGUACAGAAGGAAGAUCCGAAUGAGUGCGUAGCAGAUUGUUGUCCCGUGGGAAACAACACCCCAUGCCCGGAUCCUUGUCCCGCAGGACCUUGCAAGUGUGGUCUAAAUAGCCGUAGAGACAGGUUCGGGAAAUGUAUUUCGACACGUGAUUGUCCUGCUUAUCCAUGUCCCAAGCACGAAGAAUACGACCCAUGUCCUACGUGUUCGGAGAGUUGUAGCAACGCGUCACCAGAUGGUGAGCGUUGUCGCUUCCCAGCAGGCGUCAGGAUUGGGAUCACAGUCAUCUGCGAGCCCAAAUGUAGAUGCAAGAAGUACCGCUGGAGAGACGCCAAGGGAAAGUGUGUGCCUUAUCAUAAAUGCGCCCGGGAAUCGACAGCCUCAACAGCCUGCAAUGAAUAAUGAAGAUCAGAAAAUGAAAAUAUUUAUUUUUGACUUUGAAAGGAAAUAAAGUGGAU